rnacentral:rRNA from 1 species
AUUGAACGCUGGCGGCAGGCUUAACGCAUGCAAGUCGAGCGGUAGCACAGGGGAGCUUGCUCCCUGGGUGACGAGCGGCGGACGGGUGAGUAAUGUCUGGGAAACUGCCUGAUGGAGGGGGAUAACUACUGGAAACGGUAGCUAAUACCGCAUAACGUCGCAAGACCAAAGAGGGGGACCUUCGGGCCUCUUGCCAUCAGAUGUGCCCAGAUGGGAUUAGCUAGUAGGUGGGGUAAUGGCUCACCUAGGCGACGAUCCCUAGCUGGUCUGAGAGGAUGACCAGCCACACUGGAACUGAGACACGGUCCAGACUCCUACGGGAGGCAGCAGUGGGGAAUAUUGCACAAUGGGCGCAAGCCUGAUGCAGCCAUGCCGCGUGUGUGAAGAAGGCCUUCGGGUUGUAAAGCACUUUCAGCGAGGAGGAAGGUGGUGAACUUAAUACGUUCAUCAAUUGACGUUACUCGCAGAAGAAGCACCGGCUAACUCCG